rnacentral:sRNA from 1 species
UGGGAGGGUGAGAACUCUCGCGGGUUCGAGCCGAGCGCAGCGAGACAACAUCGCGCAGCGAUGGCCCCGAAGGGGGGGCGCGCCAGCGCAUAAUCCUCCCUCACC